rnacentral:rRNA from 1 species
GAUGAACGCUGGCGGCGUGCCUAAUACAUGCAAGUCGAGCGAAUGGAUUGAGAGCUUGCUCUUAUGAAGUUAGCGGCGGACGGGUGAGUAACACGUGGGUAACCUGCCCAUAAGACUGGGAUAACUCCGGGAAACCGGGGCUAAUACCGGAUAACAUUUUGAACCGCAUGGUUCGAAAUUGAAAGGCGGCUUCGGCUGUCACUUAUGGAUGGACCCGCGACGCAUUAGCCAGUUGGUGAGGUAACGGCUAACCAAGGCAACGAUGCGUAGCCGACCGGAGAGGGUGAUCGGCCACACUGGGACUGAGACACGGCCCAGACUCCUACGGGAGGCAGCAGUAGGGAAUCUUCCGCAAUGGACGAAAGUCUGACGGAGCAACGCCGCGUGAGUGAUGAAGGCUUUCGGGUCGUAAAACUCUGUUGUUAGGGAAGAACAAGUGCUAGUUGAAUAAGCUGACACCUUGACGGUACCUAACCAGAAAGCCACGGCUAACUACGUGCCAGCAGCCGCCGUAA